AUUCUCAGGGUCCAUACCAGCGAGAUCUUUGACUCUCAUGGGAAUCCCACCAUUGAGGUGGAUCUCUACACCACAAAAGGUCUCUUCAGUGCUGCGAUGCCCAGCGGUGCGUCCACUGGCAUCUACGAGGCCCUAGAACUCCGAGAAAGUGAUAAGACCCGCUUCAUGGGGAAGGGUGUCUCAAAGGCUGUUGAACACAUCAAUAAAUAACACUAUCACACCUGCUCUGGUUAGCAAGAAACUGAAUGUUAUGGAGCAGGAGAAGAUUGGCCAGCUGAUGAUCGAGAUGGACGGCACCGAGAAUAAAUCGAAGUUUGGUGCAAACGCCAUCCUGGGA
rnacentral:lncRNA from 1 species